UACGAAGGGGGCUAGCGUUGUUCGGAUUUACUGGGCGUAAAGCGCACGUAGACGGAUCUUUAAGUCAGAGGUGAAAUCCCAAGGCUCAACCUUGGAACUGCCUUUGAUACUGGGGAUCUUGAGUCCGGGAGAGGUGAGUGGAACUGCGAGUGUAGAGGUGAAAUUCGUAGAUAUUCGCAAGAACACCAGUGGCGAAGGCGGCUCACUGGCCCGGUACUGACGCUGAGGUGCGAAAGCGUGGGGAGCAAACAGG
rnacentral:rRNA from 1 species